rnacentral:tRNA from 1 species
GUAGUCGUGGCCGAGUGGUUAAGGCGAUGGACUAUAAAUCCAUUGGGAUCUUCCCGCGUAGGUUCGAAUCCUACCGACUACG